rnacentral:ncRNA from 1 species
CCUGUGGAUCGUUAUACAAACGAAAGUAGUUGGAAUGAAAAUAUAUUCAUUUUAACAAAAUCGGACGGGAUGAAGCAGGAA